UACGUAGGGUGCGAGCGUUGUCCGGAAUUAUUGGGCGUAAAGAGCUCGUAGGCGGCUUGUCGCGUCGGAUGUGAAAGCCCGGGGCUUAACUCCGGGUCUGCAUUCGAUACGGGCAGGCUAGAGUUCGGUAGGGGAGAUCGGAAUUCCUGGUGUAGCGGUGAAAUGCGCAGAUAUCAGGAGGAACACCGGUGGCGAAGGCGGAUCUCUGGGCCUGUACUGACGCUGAGGAGCGAAAGCGUGGGGAGCAAACAGG
rnacentral:rRNA from 1 species